CCCACCAGUCCGGCUGGGAGGAGGAGGCCGGGCCGGUGCUCGUGCUGAGAGGGACGUGAGGAGCAGCCCCUCUUGCUGCAGCUUCGGGGGAACGAGCGGGCAGAGGUGGGAAGCGCGCCCUGCGGACUGGGUGGGGGCCCAGGACACCUCCAGAGCUGGUGUCGCGGGGAUCCCCCCCCCGAGUCUCCGGCGGCUCGGCGGUCACUUGCUGGGGGACGACGUCAGUCCUGGUGACCGCUGCGCAUGGGUCCCCACCUGCUGUAUCUGGACCCUGUGUGACGGACACUCACCCCAGGUUUGAUGUCAAGCGGGCCAGUCGGAGGACGGAAAAAUGAAAGGCAGAAAAGCGCCAUGUAAACAGGGCGGAGGUCGGAUUUCCCCACGGCGCUUCCAGAAAGUUGGGAUUGCUGACUAGUUAAUUUUGGUGGGACUCGAGCCCAAGGAUCUACUUGCCCUGGACUCCGGGCGCCGCCCUCGGGGAGCCUCAGUCUUCUCUGUGAAUUGAGGACCAGAAACCAUGUGACAUCCAAGAAAGCGCCCCAGCGGGAAGACAAGGACCUUCCCUCUCACCUGCCUACGCGAGCCCCAGACCGCCCGCCCAGCCUGAAGUGACUUCGAGGGGCUGCAGGUUUCUCAGUAUCACCGCUAAAAUCUCAAGGUCCUCCCCGUAGAUCAAGAAGUACCGGCAUCUCAUGAAUGAGCGGGACGGCAGUGGUAACGCAGCUGCGGGACGCUCGGGGGCCAGGACGUCCGAAUGGUGCGGUGGUCCCAUCCUGCGGCUCCAGCAUCCCCGCGGGCCGGGAGCAGAGGGCGCGACUGUGGACAAAAGUCAGUGUGUUUGUAUCGAUUCUCCCCUUACUGGCCCGGCCCAUGUGGAAAGAAGGAGCAGGCCCAGGGGAUCAGAGCAGUUCCUGCCUCACUCACAGGUCAUUUUGAGGAUGAAGUAAGAUGACGUGUGUGUAAAACGGGGCGCUGUGCCCGGCACGGUGGGCGUGUUUCCUCCUCUUCCUCCUCCACCGUCAGCAUGA